AAAUGGUAAAAUAAUAAUGGAACAAUGAAUUAUAAAAAAUGUAUAAAUACAUGUUUACUUCUAACAAUACAAAUGAAUGGUAUAAUACAAACAAAGCAUAUACAUAAACAAGACGAACUGUUCACAUGCUCAUAAUACAGCGAAAGUAUUUAAAUAACAAUUACGUUUAUGCAAAGUAUGAGUGCUACUUAUAUCUAUUAAAAUGAAUCGUCAUAAUUUAGAAAUAUUUUUUCAUAUGAAAAAUCAUUAUAAAAAGUUAAAAGCUGUGAAAUGUGUUGUAGAUACUGGAAGAUCUCGAUUAGAGCAACACCGUUCCAAGAAUGCAGUUUUGAGAGGCUUUCAAAAAAAGAAGCGUGCAAUUAAGGGUAGUAGAUGUAACAGAGCAAGAACCCUCAGUGACCCCCGGCCACAGACAAGACGAAAUUUGUCAGAUGUGCCUACUUCUCAGCAAAACAGAAGCCUAUCAA